rnacentral:rRNA from 1 species
AAAGUCCGCUUCGGCGGAUUGAUCGACCCCAGAGGAAGUCACGGCUAACUUCGUGCCAGCAGCCGCGGUAAUACGAAGGUGGCAAGCGUUGUUCGGAAUCACUGGGCUUAAAGGGCGCGUAGGCUGAGCAGAAAGUGUUUUGUGAAAUCCCCCGGCUUAACCGGGGAAUGGCUGGACAAACUACUGUUCUUGAGGCAAGUAGGGGUGCAUGGAACUCUUGGUGGAGCGGUGGAGUGCGUAGAUAUCAAGAGGAACGCCGAAGGUGAAGACAGUGCACUGGGCUUGUCCUGACGCUGAGGCGCGAAAGCGUGGGGAUCAAACGGGAUUAGAUACCCCGGUAGUCCACGCCCUAAACGAUGUCUACUAGGUUGUGGGAGUUCUGACGCUCCCGGGGCCGAAGCAAAAGUGUUAAGUAGACCGCCUGGGGAGUACGGUCGCAAGGCUAAAACUCAAAGGAAUUGACGGGGGCUCACACAAGCGGUGGAGCAUGUGGAUUAAUUCGAAGCAACGCGCAGAACCUUACCUGGGUUUGACAUGCUUGGAUGCCUGCC